CGUCAUCGCAGGUCCUGCAGCCCCAGGAGGUGAGAUCUGCAGGUUCCUUACGUUCAGGACUCUCUUAUUUUAAAAGACAAUAGUCCUUUCCAUAAAUGACCCACCAAGGAUGGAGAAGGACAGAGACCACAUGGCUGGAAGGAUAUUAGACCUCACCCUGGAGAUCAUCUACUUGAUAACUGGAGAGGAUUACACAGUAGUGAAGAAGUCGUCUGGUGAGUGUGUGACACCCCGUGUGUCAGGAG